rnacentral:rRNA from 1 species
GCAAUGGGUGAAAGCCUGACGCAGCCAUGUCGCGUGAAUGAUGAAGGUCUUAGGAUUGUAAAAUUCUUUCACCGGGGAAGAUAAUGACGGUACCCGGAGAAGAAGCCCCGGCUAACUUCGUGCCAGCAGCCGCGGUAAUACGAAGGGGGCUAGCGUUGCUCGGAAUUACUGGGCGUAAGGGGCGCGUAGGCGGAUAUUUAAGUCGGGGGUGAAAGCCCAGGGCUCAACCCUGGAAUAGCCUUCGAUACUGGAUAUCUUGAGUUCGGGAGAGGUGAGUGGAACUCCGAGUGUAGAGGUGAAAUUCGUAGAUAUUCGGAAGAACACCAGUGGCGAAGGCGACUCACUGGCCCGAUACUGACGCUGAGGCGCGAAAGCGUGGGGAGCAAACAGGAUUAGAUACCCUGGUAGUCCACGCUGUAAACGAUGAGUGCUAGUUGUCGGCAUGCAUGCAUGUCGGUGACGCAGCUAACGCAUUAAGCACUCCGCCUGGGGAGUACGGUCGCAAGAUUAAAACUCAAAGGAAUUGACG